AGCUUGCUCUUCUUGGAUGAGUUGCGAACGGGUGAGUAACGCGUAGGUAACCUGCCUUGUAGCGGGGGAUAACUAUUGGAAACGAUAGCUAAUACCGCAUAACAAUGGAUGACACAUGUCAUUUAUUUGAAAGGGGCAAUUGCUCCACUACAAGAUGGACCUGCGUUGUAUUAGCUAGUAGGUGAGGUAAUGGCUCACCUAGGCGACGAUACAUAGCCGACCUGAGAGGGUGAUCGGCCACACUGGGACUGAGACACGGCCCAGACUCCUACGGGAGGCAGCAGUAGGGAAUCUUCGGCAAUGGGGGCAACCCUGACCGAGCAACGCCGCGUGAGUGAAGAAGGUUUUCGGAUCGUAAAGCUCUGUUGUAAGUCAAGAACGGGUGUGAGAGUGGAAAGUUCACACUGUGACGGUA
rnacentral:rRNA from 1 species